ACAAAAAGCAGCACUAGAAAAGUGCAGCGCCACAAAUGGCCAAAUCCAGUAAUCCACAUCCACAUUGUAUUGUAUAUUGUAGGGUAAGUAACUUGCGUGACGAGCAGAGCACAAAUGGCGAAAGCACGGAAGUCGUACAGUCCCGGGCGGACCUUCGCCUGCAAUCCUUUCCCGUGUCAUCUCACUUGCUCCUGCCCUGUAAACGUG
rnacentral:lncRNA from 1 species